UACGUAGGGGGCAAACGUUGCUCGGAAUCACUGGGCAUAAAGCGCACGUAGGUGGCAUGGUAAGUCUGAUGUGAAAUCCCUCGGCUCAACCGAGGAACUGCGUUGGAUACUGCCGUGCUUGAGGGUUGGAGGGGAGACAGGAACUCCUGGUGUAGCGGUGAAAUGCGUAGAUAUCAGGAGGAACGCCGGUGGCGAAAGCGUGUCUCUGGACAACAUCUGACACUGAGGUGCGAAAGCUAGGGGAGCAAACGGG
rnacentral:rRNA from 1 species